UACCACUGAAGCUCAAUGUACAGAGGA
rnacentral:piRNA from 1 species